rnacentral:rRNA from 1 species
CGAAUGCUGACAUAAGUAACGAUAAAGCGGGUGAAAAGCCCGCUCGCCGGAAGACCAAGGGUUCCUGUCCAACGUUAAUCGGGGCAGGGUGAGUCGACCCCUAAGGCGAGGCCGAAAGGCGUAGUCGAUGGGAAACAGGUUAAUAUUCCUGUACUUGGUGUUACUGCGAAGGGGGGACGGAGAAGGCUAUGUUGGCCGGGCGACGGUUGUCCCGGUUUAAGCGUGUAGGCUGGUUUUCCAGGCAAAUCCGGAAAAUCAAGGCUGAGGCGUGAUGACGAGGCACUACGGUGCUGAAGCAACAAAUGCCCUGCUUCCAGGAAAAGCCUCUAAGCAUCAGGUAACAUCAAAUCGUACCCCAAACCGACACAGGUGGUCAGGUAGAGAAUACCAAGGCGCUUGAGAGAACUCGGGUGAAGGAACUAGGCAAAAUGGUGCCGUAACUUCGGGAGAAGGCACGCUGAUAUGUAGGUGAAGUCCCUCGCGGAUGGAGCUGAAAUCAGUCGAAGAUACCAGCUGGCUGCAACUGUUUAUUAAAAACACAGCACUGUGCAAACACGAAAGUGGACGUAUACGGUGUGACGCCUGCCCGGUGCCGGAAGGUUAAUUGAUGGGGUUAGCGCAAGCGAAGCUCUUGAUCGAAGCCCCGGUAAACGGCGGCCGUAACUAUAACGGUCCUAAGGUAGCGAAAUUCCUUGUCGGGUAAGUUCCGACCUGCACGAAUGGCGUAAUGAUGGCCAGGCUGUCUCCACCCGAGACUCAGUGAAAUUGAACUCGCUGUGAAGAUGCAGUGUACCCGCGGCAAGACGGAAAGACCCCGUGAACCUUUACUAUAGCUUGACACUGAACAUUGAGCCUUGAUGUGUAGGAUAGGUGGGAGGCUUUGAAGUGUGGACGCCAGUCUGCAUGGAGCCGACCUUGAAAUACCACCCUUUAAUGUUUGAUGUUCUAACGUUGACCCGUAAUCCGGGUUGCGGACAGUGUCUGGUGGGUAGUUUGACUGGGGCGGUCUCCUCCUAAAGAGUAACGGAGGAGCACGAAGGUUGGCUAAUCCUGGUCGGACAUCAGGAGGUUAGUGCAAUGGCAUAAGCCAGCUUGACUGCGAGCGUGACGGCGCGAGCAGGUGCGAAAGCAGGUCAUAGUGAUCCGGUGGUUCUGAAUGGAAGGGCCAUCGCUCAACGGAUAAAAGGUACUCCGGGGAUAACAGGCUGAUACCGCCCAAGAGUUCAUAUCGACGGCGGUGUUUGGCACCUCGAUGUCGGCUCAUCACAUCCUGGGGCUGAAGUAGGUCCCAAGGGUAUGGCUGUUCGCCAUUUAAAGUGGUACGCGAGCUGGGUUUAGAACGUCGUGAGACAGUUCGGUCCCUAUCUGCCGUGGGCGCUGGAGAACUGA